GAUGAACGCUGGCGGCGUGCCUAAUACAUGCAAGUCGAGCGAACGGACGAGAAGCUUGCUUCUCUGAUGUUAGCGGCGGACGGGUGAGUAACACGUGGAUAACCUACCUAUAAGACUGGGAUAACUUCGGGAAACCGGCGCUAAUACCGGAUAAUAUUUUGAACCGCAUGGUUCAAAAGUGAAAGACGGUCUUGCUGUCACUUAUAGAUGGAUCCGCGCUGCAUUAGCUAGUUGGUAAGGUAACGGCUUACCAAGGCAACGAUGCAUAGCCGACCUGAGAGGGUGAUCGGCCACACUGGAACUGGGACACGGUCCAGACUCCUACGGGAGGCAGCAGUAGGGAAUCUUCCGCAAUGGGCGAAAGCCUGACGGAGCAACGCCGCGUGAGUGAUGAAGGUCUUCGGAUCGUAAAACUCUGUUAUUAGGGAAGAACAUAUGUGUAAGUAACUGUGCACAUCUUGACGGUACCUAAUCAGAAAGCCACGGCUAACUACGUG
rnacentral:rRNA from 1 species